UUUAUUCAUUUUCCCUAUAAUAUAUGAACCAAUGUUUUAAUAUUCAGUGAUUUAUUUAUUUAUUGGGUUCUAGGGUUUUCAAUUAAAGGUUCUGCUGCCAGUCCCAGAUAGAGUGAGAAGCGAGAGAGAUUGAAGAUAGAGUUGAGAAGCGAGAGCGACUGAAAGGGCAAAAUUUUGCGCUGGAGCGUCGUGCUUGAUGCAAUUGGCUGCCGCUGCUCGUUCGUCUUUUUCGUAGUAAGGGGCAAGGUUCUUACAUAAUCUCAAAUGGCGUCGACAAAGGAGGAGCUUGAAGGCACUUGAUAUUCUUUUUCAUAUGUGUAUGCAUUAAUGAUAUUGAACAAUGAACUAUUGUGAAAUAUAUAUUUUAUUGAUUUCUUAGUAAUGAAAGUACUUAUGAUA